UGUUGUUUGUUUUUUCCCCAAACAUUUCGUCUGUGAAAAAAAGCAACAACAAGCAUACGUUUUUGUUUACAUUUGUCACUCUUAUUACACAAUACGCCGGUAUAUAAUGCGCGUCGAAAAGGAACAACACAGGAGCAUUAUAACAACAAUUUACAGAGAAGAUAAGUUGCUAAGAAGUCGCAUCAAGCUACACUAUGAAUCUGCAAAUUGUAUCGUAUAUAGCGAUAGCAUGGAUAACAUUUACUUGCAUGCAGUCGGCGACCGCUGACUGCGACUUGACCAACUCGAGCUCGUGCCCGGUAGGCACGUGCUGUGUGCACGAUUUAUUGUUCUCGAGUACCACGUGCCGCCCUCUGGGUCAGGAUGGUGCUUCGUGUACGAUAAGGCCCACUUCGCUAGAGUGCGCAUGCGCCGAUGGUCUAGUCUGUUUGACCAACAUUCACGGAGGCCACAUCUCUUCCGUUUACGGGCAUUGUGUACGAAAAUACGACUCGCCGAUUGCUGGAUAGUUAAAUGAACAUUACGUGUUAUAUUUCCACGUUUCAAGACAAUGUAUCAUAUGGACGUGUGUGUAUGUUUGUUGCUACUCAAAAUGCUUACAUAAAUUCACAUGUUUUA